ensembl:snRNA Rnu1-149 RNA, U1 small nuclear 149
AAAAGAGGGGAGGGGAGGGAUGCCAUGAUCACAAAAGGGGUUUUCCCAGGGUGAGGCUUAUCCAUUGCACUCUGGCUGAGCCCUGUGAUUUCCCCCAAAUUCAAGAAACUUGACUACAUAAUUUGUGGCAGUGGGGGACUACAUUCAUGCUCUCCCCUU